rnacentral:rRNA from 1 species
GGAGCUCGAAAGGGUUGCAGUGAAAAGGUGGCUGCGACUGUUUAUUAAAAACACAGCACUCUGCAAACACGAAAGUGGACGUAUAGGGUGUGACGCCUGCCCGGUGCUGGAAGAUUAAAUGAUGGGGUGCAAGCUCUUGACUGAAGUCCCAGUAAACGGCGGCCGUAACAAUAACGGUCCUAAGGUAGCGAAAUUCCUUGUCGGGUAAGUUCCGACCCGCACGAAUGGCGUAACGAUGGCCACACUGUCUCCUCCUGAGACUCAGCGAAGUUGAAAUGUUUGUGAAGAUGCAAUCUCCCCGCUGCUAGACGGAAAGACCCCGUGAACCUUUACUGUAGCUUUGCAUUGGACUUUGAACAGACUUGUGUAGGAUAGGUGGGAGGCUUUGAAGUGGGAACGCCAGUUCUCAUGGAGCCGUCCUUGAAAUACCACCCUGGUGUGUUUGAGGUUCUAACCUGGGUCCGUCAU